rnacentral:rRNA from 1 species
AGAGCGAACGCUGGCGGCAGGCCUAACACAUGCAAGUCGAGCGCCCAGCAAUGGGAGCGGCAGACGGGAUAGUAACACGUGGGAACGUACCUUUCAGUUCGGAACAACCCAGGGAAACUUGGGCUAAUACCGAAUACGCCCGUAAGGGGAAAGAUUUAUCGCUGAAAGAUCGGCCCGCGUCUGAUUAGCUAGUUGGUGGGGUAAUGGCCCACCAAGGCGACGAUCAGUAGCUGGUCUGAGAGGAUGAUCAGCAUCACUGGGACUGAGACACGGCCCAGACUCCUACGGGAGGCAGCAGUGGGGAAUAUUGGACAAUGGGCGCAAGCCUGAUCCAGCCAUGCCGCGUGGAUGAUGAAGGCCCUAGGGUUGUAAAGUCCUUUCGGCGGGGAAGAUAAUGACGGUACCCGCAGAAGAAGCGCCGGCUAACUACGUGCCAGCAGCCGC